rnacentral:rRNA from 1 species
UACGUAGGGGGCAAGCGUUGUCCGGAAUCAUUGGGCGUAAAGAGCGUGUAGGCGGCUUGGUAAGUCCGCUGUGAAAGUCCAGGGCUCAACCCUGGAAUGCCGGUGGAAACUGUCAAGCUUGAGUCCGGAAGAGGCGAGUGGAAUUCCUGGUGUAGCGGUGAAAUGCGCAGAUAUCAGGAAGAACACCCGUGGCGAAAGCGGCUCUCUGGAACGGUACUGACGCUGAGACGCGAAAGCGUGGGGAGCGAACAGG